UUACAAAAGCAGAAUAGAAGUGAGCUUCGUCGAACCACAAGUCAGUCGUGAAAGAAUAUUGCUAACAUUGAAUCAUGAAGAUAUUUCUCCUAUUUUUUUUGUUUACCUGUUUACAGCUGAUGGCCGAGUCUGCCUCAAUCAAGGAGAAAGAGGAGAUUGCAGGUAUUCUACGUGAACCAGCAGGGUGCACAGAUGAAAACCCCACCUAUUGCAGCACAUUUGGUAAACAAUACUGCACAAAUGGACAACUUUUUUCCACUUUCAGCAACUUCGAUGACUUCAAAGGAAAGUGCUCCGCCUUUUGUGGACUCUGCUAGGAGAAUAGGACACAAAUGACGUGAGUGGAGAGUUGAAAUGAACAAGAAAGAGUGAUCUAUAUGCUUAUAAUUGUUGCCCUAGAGCUGUAAUAAAAGAAAUGAUCAUCAGCUGUU